UGUGCAACCAUCUUGCUCCCCGAGCUGGGCACCGAGCAGCGCCAGAGCGCCCGUAUUUGCAGGCUGGCGCCUCGCGGCUGGACGCAGCCGCAGACAGCCCAUCCAUCAUCCGCCUCCUCCCGCCGCGCAGCAGCCGCGGCCAAUGGGCGCCAGGUGGGGCCGCACCUGCGGGCCGCGCGCUUCCUUGUGCUCGCCGCGCCGCGCCGCGCCUCGGGGGCCAGCGGGCCCCGGAGCCACUGCGUUCUCCAAGACCAGGAUGCGACAGAUCUAGUCCGGAGGGCAUGGUCUGGGAGCUGAGUGCCAGAUGCGAGUCCCCCUUGAUCAUUUGGGACAUCACCCAGGCCAAGGAGCUGCUUUGCCAAUGCAGAAGAAAUAAUCGGAGGAAAAGUAUACCCAAGAAGAGGUCUUGCAAACAAUUCUGGGAUAAGAUGUGGCAGAACUUGAGCCUGAUCAUGGGACUCUUCUGAUUCAUCUCUUUCCGGUGCAGACUGAGAGCACUUACAAGAAUGGGAGAUAAAAGAAGGGCUUAGUCCCAAAGCCCUCUGAAAGUUUGGAUUUUGUUAAGAAAGACAAAAAGGACAUCAAUUAAAGACUGCUAUGGAGUAUAUUUCAAAUGCUCAUAUUUUUGCUCCAUUCCAGUAAAGGUUUCUCUCCAAAGAAAUUUGGUCCCGAGGAAGAAUAAAAGAAUGGAUGAUAUUUUAUUGUCUCUUGGAGAUGUUGGAAAUACUUCACUCCUACAUGUCUGGGGUUGUUUUCAUCUUGCCAAGUACUUUGAUAUUUGUGAAUAUGGCUACAUGGCUUGAAACAAGAGCAGUGAUAACUCAUACUAAUUAUUUAGCUUGUAUUUUAAUGCCUGACAAGAGAGAAAAGAACUUUUUCUUCCACGAUUCUGGUUGUAAAAAUUAAGAAGCUCAAGGGGAAGUGGAAGAUCUGUGUUCUUAAAAAGUUUCCAACUCACAGAUUUCUUGGAUCUAAACCAAUGAGAGCUUCCUGCAAAUAGGGAUCUCACCUCUGCUGACUUCUAGGCUCCGCAAAGCAGCUCAGAUUGGGGGCUGCUGCAUAAGUCCCACCACUCCCAAGCCUGUCUGCCAAUGGACAUCAGCAAUGAGUCUGGAUUAGAAAGAAGCUGAUCUGCUCCUCCCCCAUGCUCUUCUUUUCCAUUCAAGAUGAAAGUCUAACGUAUCAGCACUCCCCUUGCUACAUUCCGACAGAAGCAAUCUAAAUUAGAGUCAAGGAGUGUGAUGUUAAAUAUCUGGAAUCUCAGACAGACAAAAUGUGAUGUGCUAGAAUAUACAUGGAACAUAAUGAAAUGAUCUGGAAUACAGAAUUAAACAAUGAGGCUGGCUUAAGGGUAAGGACUAAAUAACCACGGUGCUUUAUUUGAUGCACAUGUUCCUUUGAAGUGGGUCCAAAAUAACAACUCAUUGCCUGAUCCUCAGUUUGCACCUUGGCAGGUCCAAGUAUCUUUUGAAAAUGCGAAGGGAAGCCUAGAGAGAAAACAGUCUGAUGAAGUCCAUCUCAAAGGACAGCACAGAAGAUCUUAGGAGAUGUCAAAAACACUCUGGUUAGUACUCUUUCUCUGUAAGUGCAGCUACUCUGCCAAGCUGG
ensembl:lincRNA